UAUUAAUAUAUAGCUACACACAAUAAUAUAAUCAUAUAAUUAAUAGUCAUAUAUAUUAGUUAUAUCAAUUAUCUAUAGCUAUUUACCAAUAUACAUUUAUAUAUUAGUUACAUAGGUAUAUUCUGGUUAAUACAUUGUGUCAACUUGAAAAGUUUAGCAGUUUUACUGAGACACUCAGCAGGAGCCGGGAUGCUCAUCCUGUGCAGGAGGAGGGCACGGAGACUUCGUGAGCGCUGCACCGCCCUGCGGGGCGUGGGCUGGGACAGUAUAAGGGAGGAGAAGAGGCUGUUUUUGUCUCCUUGUGUUCUUGCUGCCGCCUUGAAGUGCUCCUCCAGUGCCACACGACCCUGCCUUGGAGCCAGCUGAUUACGGACUGAAACCUCCAAAACUUGGAGCUACGUCUCAAUAAACCUACCUGGAGUUGAAAACCGUGUUGUCUGAGGAAGCACUUGGAGGCCCUCACCCCUCUGACUCCCAGGCACAGCCUAACCCACCUGGAAGCACUCACGGAUGCACCUCAUUAGCCUACAGAUUGGCAAACCAUCUCACCCCAAGUCAUAGUAACAUGUGGAAUAUCCCAUACAGUCUAUUAAAUACCAGAUGCAUGGACAGGAAAACUGGUAUGGCUGGAAAAGUAUGCUUUUUGGACCCUGUAAAGUUGUAUAACUCUAUACCCAGCCCUCAGACAGCCAGGCGUGUGGCAUGUGAAUGUCAUGGUCAUAGGGAUGUCCACACCUAUGGGCACCUAAGGCUCACUGGGAAGCAUCUCCUUGGCUGGUCCACAGAUCUGUCUGUGUCUUGUUACUCUCCUGCAUCCUCCCCUGUGCAGACUCUGCACUGGUGUCCUCCACCACUGUCUGAAUGUCCUGGUCAUGGUGCAGACCAUGAAUGGCCCCCAGAGGCCCUGGGGCACAGGCUUGGCUCUACCAGGAGGCAAUGGGAUUUCCAGAAAGUGAUGCCUGGUGGGAGAUCUGUGGGCCACGGGGCCAGGACAUUGAAGGAGACUGCACAGCUCCAGCCCAGACCCAUUCUUCUCCUCUCUUUUCUCCCUGGCCGUGAGGUGAGUGAGCGGUUUUGCUCCACCAUUUGCUCCAUGAGAGGGCCAAAAGCAAGGGGUCCAAGUGAUCAAGGGGUUUGUGAAAGUCUCCCAGGCUGAGAACCAAAUGAAUCUUUUCUUUUCCUAAGAAAAUGGUCGCCAUAUGAUAGAGCCCCACUUAGAAGCCUCGGAGGCAAUGGUGACUAUAGAUGAAGUGCGAUUCGAAUCUGGGUGCCCUGUAGGACACGGGUCCCAUCUUUUGUUUGAGCAGCAGCCCUGCCCUUUUCCCCCCACACACCAUUGCUUUGUUCUGCUCUGAGAAUGUGCUUUGCUUCCCUCACACCCUUAAGCCCUGCAAUGCUCCUCCAUUCUUGUUAUGGUUUGUGUCUCAUUGUUUCCCCAAAGCCUCAUGCAGUCCUGAAGGCAGCUGCGUCUAUCGUUUGUGAUUGGUUGGUUGUCUAGCGCUUGGAUUGGCAGUGUGAGUGCUGCACCAGCCCAGGGGCAGGGGUGGCAUACGAUAUAAGGGAGGGAAGGAGGUGUGCUUUGCACUUCUUGCUUUUGUUACCUUGGUACCUGCCUCUGCCAUGAAUGGCUGCCCCUGUGCCAUGCCACCCUGCCUUGGAGCCAACUGAUUAUGGACUAAAAUCUUCACAAACUGUGAGCUAAAUAAAUCUUUCUUUCCUUAA